AACAUGAUUUCUGCCAAGAGCUUACAACCUAAAAUAGAGAAAUAAAAAUCCCAGGUAUAAGAUGGAUAAAGUGUGGCAGGAAGGAAAAAAGGUAGAAUGAAUAAUAUGCUGCACUUCAUCACCUACACAAAACCUUAGCAUGUUGUACAAUACCUUUUCAAGGCACUUAAUUAAUAUUAGUUAAAAAAAACAAAUGAAUGAAUGACUUGGAAAUAUGACUUCUUAGUCAUUUAUCAGUAGCAGAGUCCAUUGACAUUAAUAGAGCUUCUUUGAAUUAUUCUUGUCUCUGGCUAUGUUUAGAUUAUUGACAAUUCCUUAUACAUCUAGUUCUGUAAGUACAAAGUAUGCUAUUAUAUGUUGCAUCAAAAAUAUAUUCUUUCUAAACUAGUAUACACGCAUCCUUAAACACAGCAAACAAUAGCAAUAAUACAUUUCUCUGUAUGCUUCAAUUCAUGAAACUACCAGUGAUGAAAAGGAUGGUAUUUUGAUAAUAGCAUUACAAUGUGGUAUCUGUGGGUGGAUCUAUGACUCAGAGAUUGGAUUUUCUUCUCACCCAAGGUGCUUUUGAUAAGAUCUCUUAAAAUGCAAUAACUUUCUCAUUUCAACUAAUUAUUUUUCUCUGUAAUGUACUAAGAACCCACUCUUUUCUCAUGCUAAGUAUUAAAGUUGGGCCAUCCAGAAUAAUAUUCUUGAAAAAAAAAAUCUGAAAGAAAAUUUGGAAGGGGAGAAAGUGUGAAAUAGAAAAGGAUUUUCCAACCCUGUAAAACAGUUCCAACCUUUUAGCAGGAGCAUAUAAUGACUUAAUAAUAAUAAUUUAACAAUAAUCCAUUUUCCAAGGCAUGUUCACAAAUCUAACCUAGCCUGUCACAUGAAACCUGUGAAGGAGAGACCAAAUGAUUCGCCUAAAAUCAAAGUGGUAGGGUGCCAUCUCAAACCCAAAUCUCCAUUGUUCUUUUCACUUAUGUCUGAGUCUUCAAGUCAUUGUCAUUACAAAAUUAUGCACUGUCAUCACAAAAUUAUACAUCUAGUAGAUAAGAGCUCUAUAUCAAGAGUCUAGAUGAAAAUCUUAAUUUUGAACUUUUUCUCAUAUUACUUUUCCUCUGCUGCCAAAAAGAAAAGUUAUACUUUUAUUUUCUCAAUUUGGUAAGUAACCAAACUUCUUACAACUUCAAAGCAAUAAAAUUUCAUUGGCCACCCUAAGCAAUAAAAUAAAUAGUGACUUGCUUUUCUACUUUUGAUUGAAAUGAGACUUAUAUAAACAAGAAGUUUUAUGAGAUCUGGAAGUAAACAUGUAUUUUUCUUGUACUAUUUGUCUCCCCAUGAUCCACAACUUUGUGCUAAUUUUCAAUGCUACAAUGAAUCACAGUCCAAAAUUAAGGUUUAUCCUAACUACAAAAAAAAAAAAAUGAAAGGAGAUACUUCUCAACUAAAAUUAUAUUUGUUUAUUUAUAGAGUAUGCGACUGUGUAGUACUCAAAAUCUAAUACAGAGAAAACUAUGCUUUAAUGUAAAGCAUAAAAAGCCUAAAUAUUUGUAUAUCAAUUGUUCAAAUGAAAAUGAAAAUGAACUAUAAAACUAAAAAGUUGGAGUAAUUUUUAAAAAUAAAGCCAGAUGAAAAUAAAUAAAUAAAUAAAGCCAGAUGUCAGUCUUAAGAGUGACUUGACUUAUACUAUUUUUAAGUUACGAAACUAAGAAAACUGCUCUCUUUGGGCAAAGUAUUAUAACCAUGGCAUAGUAGUUUUUAGAAAAUUGGGUGCCAGUCCUGGAUCCACUACUAAUAAGUACUUUAUGGGCUCAGUCUUAGCAUCCUCAUUUGCAAAAUAGUAGGUUGGGACUAAGAUAUUUUUCAUAUCUGAUGUUCUACCAUUCUAAAUUCCUUUGCAAGGACUUCUAACUACUGUUAGAACCACAUUUUUAUUGAUUUCUCAAUGUUGCAUAUUUUAAUGAGAGAUGUUUCCAAAUAGUGAAAUACAUCACAUCAAAUGUCUGAAUUGCACUAAGUUUACAAUGCACUUUUGACAUACAACAUCUUGUUUAGUCUAA
rnacentral:lncRNA from 1 species